rnacentral:rRNA from 1 species
CACGUAGGGUGCGAGCGUUGUCCGGAAUUAUUGGGCGUAAAGAGCUCGUAGGCGGUGUGUCGCGUCGGCCGUGAAAACCUGCAGCUUAACUGUGGGCUUGCGGUCGAUACGGGCAUCACUGGAGUUCGGCAGGGGAGACUGGAAUUCCUGGUGUAGUGGUGAAAUGCGCAGAUAUCAGGAGGAACACCGGUGGCGAAGGCGGGUCUCUGGGCCGAUACUGACGCUGAGGAGCGAAAGCGUGGGGAGCGAACAGG